CAGUGCAGUCACUUUGUUCCUAUUAACCCCUUCAUUAACCUGGGCUGCCUGGAUCUGACUAGCUGGUAGAGAAGCUGAGUGAGAUGCCGCCUCUCUCUCUCCUCAUUCUAAAUGGUUUUGGAGGAACCGGCUCCAGAGCUCUCUUCCAGUUUAACCAACAAAAGCUUAACACGGUUAAUUGGCUAUGACGUGAAGCAAGGUAUUUUCAGACAAGAAAGCAACUACAGCAUCCCAACUUACCAGUGACACGGUGGCUGUCUAAAACUUGCUGUUUAAGUCAAAAAUACAUCAAUGCCUUUUUAAAAGACCAGCUCUAUUAAAUUAGAAAUUGUGGGUUUAUGCCAAAAUUACUUGAAGUUUAUGGCCUACUUUAUUGAGGUCAGGCUUCAUGAUCUUGUCUUCUAUGAAACUGCUUGUAUGUGCAGACUUUUUGAUUUGUCUUUUAAUUUUUUUCCCAAAGCUUCUGCUCCUCAGCUGCCUUUUGCCAUUAAUUCUGUACAAAUGUGUACGUAAUAUCUGUCAUCAGGCAGAAUACAGAGUAAUACUUUCCUGGAGGUACAGAAGUAGAAUCAGCUGGACACAAGAAGGGAUCAAACUUUUGCUUGUAAUGUGAAUACAUGUGGAUUGAGAAAUGGCUGGGCUGAGGGGAGAAGGAAGAAUUUAGAUGCUUCUAAACACAAAUGAAAUUACAUCUACUUUUUUGCAAGCACAGGUGGCAGCCUGAUAUCCCGGAAAACAGAAAUUUCAAUCUUUGACCACAAACCUGGUACACUGUGUAAUAAAAUGGCACUUACUUGUUUUAGAAUAUCUUUUGUCCUCUAAUUCUUCUUUCUUUCAUUGAACAGCUACAGAUGUUCUACAUACAAAAACCUCCAGAACAUCAGGAUCUCAGAUCUCCAGCCUGAAAUUCCUGGGGACAAACAUGUAUAUUUAUUUAUUAUACAUCAUAUAUAUCCUGGAAGAUACCUGCAGAAUUUUAACUUAUCCUCAUUCUUCAAAACCAUUGAAUCUACGGGUACAAUUCUGACCUCAAUGAGUCAUAACUGUCUUAACUGUAUCAGAGAAGAUGCCCUCCCUCCCCCUCUGAUUCCUAACAGACCAACCACUCUAAGGAAGAUUAUCCACAAAACAGAAUGAAAGCAUUUCACAGCAAAGAACCUGUGGCUAACAAACUCAGUGCAGGAGAAAGUGAUCUGCAGAAAGCAACAGUGAAGAGAAAGAACAAUUGUGCUCUCCCUCAAAUGAGUCGCAAACUACUAAUUCUGUGGUCAACGCAAUUUAGACUAUCACUUCCAGAACUCUAGACUUAAUAAUUGCCAUAUAAUUUUAAUUGUGAGUCAUCUGAUAACCUGACUGAUCUGUCAGAAGGACAUAGAAUAACCACCUUCUACCCGUAGUCAAAUGUACAAGGUAAUCAUCAAGAUCCUUUCAUAAAUAAUCUAUCAGUUAUCACGCUUUUUCAGAGACAUGGCUGGUCUGUGAGCACCCAGUUUGUAGUUUUAUGAAUUGGGAAGAGUCCUAAAAAGUCAUCAACUGUUAAUAAGUUUUUCUAACUACAGGAACAGAAGAAAUGGAAUAUUCUUUAAGCAGGAGUGACUAGUUAAAACCAGUUUUGCAGGAAGCUUCAUGCACCAAAGAUCAGAAAGAAUGUUAAUGUGCAAUCAUUGAACAGAAUAAGAGUCACAACUUGAUAUAAGGCACGUAAUGAAUAAUGCUAUAAAAUCGUCUUCUAAACACCCACAAUGUAUCUAAAUUUAUAAAACACACACAACACUGGAUAAAAUCUAAAUGCAAUUCCCAUCAUUGCAGUAUACUAUACAAUCUGCUAUAACACAGGACCAUAUUGGGAUUGAGUAGGCCAUUCUGUUUGUUAGAAACUUAGCAGAAUGUGCUGGUAUUUAUAUCUCAUAAAAGCUGUUCAGUAAACACAGCACAAAGACCUCUGAUUUCACCGAAUGCAUAAACACGUGCAAAGAAUUUAAUCUACGGAUUUCAGACAUGACAGCGCCAUCUCUACCAAACGGACUUAACUACCAUUCCCCCAUCCCAGUGAACUAAAACAUCUUUUCACCUGGAAAAAGUGUCCUGGCUUCACAGAUAAGAAUUCCAGAGUUCUAGCAACAAACUCAGAAUUUACUAUGGCAUACUUUAAAGGAAAAUAUAGUAUAGCUUCCUAGAAUCAACAGUUUUAGUUUUUUUUCCAACUAAUUAAAUAGAGAUUUGAGGGACAGGAUUUUGAGAAGGCAAAACUGAUCUCUGUUUCUGUUACAUUUCUGUGUGAACUUACAUAUGCUGGUAUAUUUUAUAUGCUUGAGUUGUCACUUCCAUAAAAGAAUGACAUUUAGUUAUAAUACCAUUCAUAUUUUAGAGAUCCUUUGUCAUUCUUUCAAGAAAAGUGAAAGAGAAAUGCAAAGUACUGUGAUCUUUGUUCUAUACAAUUGCAACACCUGCUACUACAAACCACACAAACUGAAUAGAUGACAAUCAAUAAACCAACAGAAUAAAAGCGUAUCAGGGUCAUAACCUCUGCCUUGAUGGAGAAAGAAAUCCUUUUUAGCCUCCACUAAGGCUAAAAAGGAGUCGUGAGGGACCUCACUUUCUUCUGUUCUAGAUUCAUAAAAAAUAGGGGUGGAAGGUACUUUGACAGCUCAUUUCACACAUUCUCCUGUGCCAAGGCAGGAUCAGCUAUACCUAAAUGCUUCUUAAAGUUUGUUGAUCUCUUUCUACCAACAGCAUAACUUCUGUACACAAUCUAUUCCAGUGGUUAACUGCCCUCAUCAUCAGAGCUCUUUUCCUCAAGUUUAAUUAAAAUUUCCCUUGCUGCCAACUUAAGACCAUCACUUCUACAACUGUCUGUGGCAGACAUGGAGAAAAAUGCAUAUACCUUUCCCUUUCACAGCUUAAUCACGUAAAACAAAGCUAAUCCUCUAAAAGAAGUAUCCACUUCAAAAAAAAAGAAAACAAAGACUCUCUCUAGAAAUACCUGAAAGAGUACCAAAAGAAGAAACUGUCUUGACAGACUAUUCCCCUCUCAUUUUGCGCAAACCAGACACACUCAUUUAGGAUUAGUCAAGGGCUGCAAAACCAUUUAAAAGAAUCAAGAACUCACUAUGCUUCGCCUGGAAGCUCUCUGGGUUUGUUCAAGAGCGUACGAACUGCACUCACGUUAGACAGUGUUCUAGAGCUAAAUGCACUGGGAUAUUUUAUGUGGUCACAGAUGAUGUUACCUUCUUCUGGCAGUGACCCUUCCCUUCCCUGAAGGGACCUAUAAAGGACUGUCAAACCAGGAAAUCUCAUCAUUUGGUGUAAACAGUAGAAAGAGCCCCAUCUCAGCAUUAAAGCAGAGUACUUUAUUCCAACUUACUGUCUUCAAAAUGGAAAACGGGGAUAUUUCAUUUGAGAUUUAAGAUUCAAAACCUUUAUAUUCAAAAUAAAUGUCAGCAUGGUCCUACAGCGCCAUAAUUCUUUUUCUAAAUUCUUCUAUAAGACUUUUGCAGAACACUGGAUGCAUUACCUUCAAAAGUUGUGUGAGCUAAUAAAAUCUUAGAUGGUAAUUCAAACCGACAACUCCAUUACAAUUAUAAUUAUUACUCUGUUUGUACCAUUAGUAUCUGAAGGCAAACAAUAAAAGUUUUGUGUCUCCAAAUUUUUCCUAAA